rnacentral:lncRNA from 1 species
CCGUCCUGAACCUUCAUCUGCGCCGCCCUCCUCCGAAACCCUAGAUUCUGCCGUCCUCAACCUCCAUCCGCGCCGCCCUCCUCCGAAACCCUAGAUUCUGUCGUCCUCAACCUCCAUACGCGUUUAUGGCCGAUAAUAUGGGUUGGUCGGCAUAUUUGAACUCCGAAUUCGUCCCCGAUUCGGAGGACGAAGAAUUCUUUAAGCUCAUACCUCCGUUGCCGUCGCCGCCGUCUGGUUUUGUCUAUGAGGGGAGCGGCGGAUUCCAAGGUUCUGAGGAGUCCACCGGCGGUGCUUUCAUGGAGGAUUCGAGGG